AAUAAGCAAUAUUUCUUUUUUAUAAAAUAUGUAAUUUUUUACAGGAAGAAAAGAACAUAAUUCCUGAUGAUCCAGCAAGUGAUCCAAAUUUCAGAGAACCAGACGUAGACAAUAUGAGAGCUCAAAAGAAAAAGGAACUCUUUGAAUAUAAGAAGCAAAAGAUGGCAGAGAAACCUAAGUGGGAUUGACAUUGUUUGCUGUAUACGAGUUUCCAGAUUCUAGUCACUAUAUUAGCAGCCAUUUAAUAUGAUGUUUGAUUAGUUGAGUAAAUAAUGCUUGUGAUUUUUUUUCUCUCUA